rnacentral:rRNA from 1 species
GACGAACGCUGGCGGCGCGCCUAACACAUGCAAGUCGAACGAGCGAGAGAGAGCUUGCUUUCUCGAGCGAGUGGCGAACGGGUGAGUAACGCGUGAGGAACCUGCCUCAAAGAGGGGGACAACAGUUGGAAACGACUGCUAAUACCGCAUAAGCCCACGGGUCGGCAUCGACCAGAGGGAAAAGGAGCAAUCCGCUUUGAGAUGGCCUCGCGUCCGAUUAGCUAGUUGGUGAGGUAAUGGCCCACCAAGGCGACGAUCGGUAGCCGGACUGAGAGGUUGAACGGCCACAUUGGGACUGAGACACGGCCCAGACUCCUACGGGAGGCAGCAGUGGGGAAUAUUGCACAAUGGGGGAAACCCUGAUGCAGCGACGCCGCGUGGAGGAAGAAGGU